rnacentral:rRNA from 1 species
AUCAAUAAGCGGAGGAAAAGAAACUAACAAGGAUUCCCCUAGUAACUGCGAGUGAAGCGGGAAAAGCUCAAAUUUAAAAUCUGAUGGUCUCUGGCCAUCCGAAUUGUAAUCUAGAGAAGUGCUGCCCGUACUGGACCGUGUACAAGUCUCCUGGGAUGGAGCGUCAUAGAGGGUGAGAAUCCCGUCUCUGACACGGACUGCCAGCACUUUGUGGUACGCUCUCAAAGAGUCGAGUUGUUUGGGAAUGCAGCUCAAAAUGGGUGGUAAAUUCCAUCUAAAGCUAAAUAUUGGCGAGAGACCGAUAGCGAACAAGUACCGUGAGGGAAAGAUGAAAAGAACUUUGGAAAGAGAGUUAAACAGUACGUGAAAUUGCUGAAAGGGAAACACUUGAAGUCAGUCAUGUUGGCUGGGGAUCAGCCUUGCUCUUUUGCAUGGUGUACUUCCUAGUUGACGGGUCAGCAUCAAUUUUGAUCACUGGAAAAAGACUUGAGGAAUGUGGCAGCUCCGGCUGUGUUAUAGCUUCUUGUCAUAUACAGUGAUUGGGAUUGAGGAACUCAGCACGCCGCAAGGCCGGGUUUCGACUACGUUCGUGCUUAGGAUGCUGGCAUAAUGGCUUUAAG